rnacentral:miRNA from 1 species
UAUAUGUGUGUGUGCACGUGCAUGUGUGUAUAUAUAUAUAUAUGUGCACGUGCAUGUAUGUAUGCCUAUAUAUGUGUGUGUAUAUGUAUGUAUAUUUGCAUAU